GGCUGCCUGGCGUAAUGGCAACGCGUCUGAUCACGAAUCAGGAGACUGCAGGUUCGACCCCUGCGGUGGUCA
rnacentral:tRNA from 1 species